AGGAGAAGGAUUUAAUGGGGUAUAAGUAUCGAUGAAUCGAUGCAAUGUAUACACCUCGUUAGGUACACAAUAGACGUGNAAGAAAUUCAUUAAUUAAUUUGAUCAGAAUGUAUUCAUUUGGAGUUUGAAAAGUCUACAUUUAUAUUUUGAUCAACAUCCUGCGAUACCAAAAAGUGAAUAAAGUCGGCCGUUCGCAUACAUUAAGAAGGAUCUUUACUAAAAACACUCGUUUUAACUUUAUCUCUGUGCGUAAUUACUUCCUUACUAUAUAGUGUCUA